rnacentral:rRNA from 1 species
ACCAAGGAGUCUAACAUUUGUACGAGUCAAUGGAUGAGUAAACCCUAAGGCUCAAGGAAGCUAAUUGGUGUGAUCUCCCUGAGGGGUGCAACGUCGAUUGACCUAGAUCUUUUGAGAAGGGUUGAGUGCAAACAUACCUAUUGGGACCCAAAAGAUGGUAAACUGUGCCUGAGCGGGGUGAAGCCAAAGGAAACUCUGGUGGAGACCUGCAGUGAUACUGACAUGCAAAUCGUUUGUCUGACUUGGGUAUAGGGGCAAAAGACUAAUCGAACCAUCUAGUAGCUGGUUCUCUUCGAAGUUUUCUUCAGGAUAGCUGGAGCUUAGGUGCGAGUUCUAUAGGGUAAAACCAAUGAUUAGAGGCAUCGGGAACACAAUGUCCUCGAUCUAUUCUCAAACUAUAAAUAGGUAGGACAGCAUGACUACUUCGUUGAGCCGUGCCAUGAAAUUGAGAGCUUCAAGUGGGCCAUUUUUGUUAAGCUAAACUGGCAAUACAUUUUGAAUCGAAAGUCGGGUUACGAUGCCCAAUUGCAUGCUAACCUAGAUCCCAUAAAGAGUGUUGGUCAAUUAAAACAGAAGAACGGUGGUCAUAGAAGUUGAAAUCUGCUGAGGAGUGUGUAACAACUUACCAACUGAAUCAACUAGCCCCAAAAUUGUAUGGUGCUGAAGUCCGUUACCUCGAACACAAAACCUUGGGCAUGAGCCUGGGCAGAGUGGUUGUUGCUGCGAAUCUUUGUGGUAGUAUCAAAUAUUCAAAUGGGAACUUUAAAGGCCGAAGAGGGGAAAGGUUCCAUGUGAGCAACACUUGCACAUGGGUUAGUCGAUCCUAAAGGUCAGGGAAAGCUCGAUAGAUAGUGCAUUUCACACGUGCAUUGAAAGAAAAUUGGGUUAAAAUUCCUGAACAAGGAUAUGACGGUUGACGACAACGUUAGGGAGUCCGAAGACGUCGACGGAGACCUCGGAGAGAGUUAUCUUUUUUGUUUAACAACAUGUCCACUCAGUAAAUUGCUCAGUCGGAGGUAGGGUCCAGUAGCUAGAAGACCACUGCACAUCUCAUGGUGUCUGGUACAUCCCCGACGACCCUUGAAAAUUUGGAGGAUUGAGUACCGUCUGCACCCGAUCGUACUCAUAACAGUAUCAGGUGUCCAAGGUGAACAACCUUUGAUC